UUUAUUAGAUUAAUACCAUUUCUCACUCUUCAUAUGCACCUUACAAAUUAACCCGAGAUCCCCUUCAACAAAAUUACAGACCCUAUCUUUUCUUUCAUCACCAUCAACUGUUUAACUUGAAGAACAGUUUAUUCAUUUCGCAUACUCAAAAUCAACGAAACCCUAGAAUAAAAAUCUGGGUUGUUUCUCGUUUCACAGAUCGAAACUUGCUGUUAGAAAUCAUUUAUCCUAACCUCUAUCUCAAAUUCAAAAUCCAUGUACCAGCAGAAAUCAGAAGGAAACUUUGUAACUCUAGAUCUAAUUGUUUUGCUCCUGAAAUCAUUAGGGAAGCUGUUUCAUUUUUCUAUUUUUCCCGACAACAGAACUCAUCAAAAUGGGUAGAACAUCACUUCUUAUAGUUCUUUUAGGUUGAGGGAGACGUCUGCAACUUCACAAAGAAGGGUUUAAGAACAUCAUAGAUUGGUAUUAAUUUCAUGAUUCUCAUGGUAAGAUAUAUUGCUUACAGCCUUGACACAUUCGAAAGAUGUGUGGGUUGUUUGUUGUCUAGAUCUGUUUGCAAUGAGGUUGUUUGUUGAUGAUUCCCCACGGAAGAAGGUUUUAUUUCCAACACUCUCAGGUGAGUAGAAGCUGUUGACACCACAAUCACGACAGAGGACAGGUUUCUUCUUAGUGCUGGAAUCUAGUAUGGUACCUCUUAGCAGUUAGCACUACGAGUGAAGCUUGGGUUAUCCAAGCAUGGAAAGCCAGUUGGUCUUGAGUAGAAGCUCAAGGUAGAUUUGAUAGUUAUUGGUUCGGCUGUAGACUGGAGCAUGGCUUGGUAAAGGUGAGAUGAGUCGAAGAACUUUCUGGCUCGCAUAGCAGACCUGAAAUUCCUUUACUUUGACAAUCCUAGCGAUGUCCUAGAGCUUAGAUUUUGGGCUUCUUACCGCGGACAAAUAUUAGUCUGGACUGGAAACUCUUCUUGUACGUAAAGAUUUGUUGACAUCUGGUAGUUUAAAUGAUCUUGUUGGAGGGCUGUGUUAGGUCAAGUUUAUCAAAGCUCAUGAUGUUAGAGUUGUAUUGACCACCAUAUUAUCGAUAUGGAUUGUGAUACUUUUUAGGUUAAGUUGCCUUGGUAGUUUUAUCAAAAGAAAACUCAGAUUUGGAUCAUGAGUAAUUCCAUUUUUUAUAAGUUGUAUAACAAAUUUUGUUUUUUAAUAUAAUGUUGAUUCAAAUUCU